UACGGAGGGUGCAAGCGUUAUCCGGAUUCACUGGGUUUAAAGGGUGCGUAGGUGGGUUGGUAAGUCAGUGGUGAAAUCUCCGAGCUUAACUUGAACUGCCAUUGAUACUAUCAGUCUUGAAUACCGUGGAGGUCAGCGGAAUAUGUCAUGUAGCGGUGAAAUGCUUAGAUAUGACAUAGAACACCAAUUGCGAAGGCAGCUGACUACGCGAAUAUUGAUCACUGAUGCACGAAAGCGUGGGGAUCAAACAGG
rnacentral:rRNA from 1 species